rnacentral:rRNA from 1 species
UACGAAGGGGCUAGGCGUUGCUCGGAAUCACUGGGCGUAAAGGGUGCGUAGGCGGGUCGUUUAAGUCAGGGGUGAAAUCCGUGGAAGCUCAACUCCAGAACUGCCCUUUGAUACUGAAGAUCUUGAGUUCGGGAGAGGUGAGUGGAACUGCGAAGUGUAGAGGUGAAAUUCGUAGAUAUUAGGAAGAACACCGACGCGGAAGGCAGCACUCUGGGCCGGUACUGACGCUGAGGAGCGAAAGCAUGGGGAGCGAACAGG